AACCCUCCCACCUCCACCUUCAGCUAUCAUACAGCACUAAAUACUGUACAGAGCCAGCUUAAAAAGCAUAAGGUCAAGUGCAGGCCAGAUGUCAGAUGUUUGUGGUUAGUCAUAUGUCAGAAGUGAAAGCACACAGAUGAAGAGAUUUUUAUUUUAUUUUUUCAUGCAGAUCUAAAAGCAAAAAUUUACAUCACAGACCCGACCAUAUGCACAAUCAAUAUGACCAAGUAAGCAUUAGAAGAGUAGAAAAAAACAUAAUUUUAAAAUUUUCUUUAGUAAUUGUGAGCAAAUUAAAACCUGCUGUCAUGUUGAUUGAUUGUUGUGGGUGAUUGUCAAGGACAUUGCAAUAUGGUUGCAAUGGUUGAUUAUUCACCCAAGUCAAAAGAAGUCAUCCGCAAGUCUCUGUUAUACACUCACAUAGCACUUUAUUAGGAACUCUAUGGUUCUAAUGAAGCGCCUGACGUAGCCGUCUGCUGUUGUAGCCCAUCUGCCUCAAGGUUUGAUGUGUUUUGCAUUCUGAGAUACUAUUCUGCUCACUACAACUGUACAUUGUAAAGUGGUUACAGUGCAUUCAGAAAGUAUUCAGACCCCUUAAUUUUUUUUCACAUUUUGUUAUGUUGCAGCCUUAUGCUAAAAUGCUUAAAAAAAAUAAAAAAAUAAAAAUCACAUCAAUCUACACUCCAUACCCCAUAAUGACAAAGCAAAAAACUGAUUUUUGAUAACUUUGCAAAUUUAUUAAAAAGAAAAAACUGAAAUAAUGAAAAAAAUGAAGGGGUCUGAAUACUUUCUGAAUACUUUCUAAAUGCACUGUAUCUGAUUUACCGUAGUGUUUCUGUUAGAUCAAACCAGUCUGGCCAUUCUCUGUUAACCUCUCUCAUCAACAAGGCAUUUACAUCCACAGAACUGCUGCUCACUGGAUGUUUUUUUGUUUUUGGCACCAUUCUGAGUAAACUCUAAAGACUGUUGUGUGUGAAAAUCCCAGGAGAUCAGCAGUUACAGAAAUACUCAAACCAGAGCAUCUGGCAUCAACAAUCUUUUUUUUUUUUAAAUUCCCCAUUCUGAUGGUUGAUGUGAACAUUAACUGAAGCUCCUGACCUGUAUCUGUAUGGUUUUAUGCAGUGAACUGCUGACACACUAUUUGCUGAUUGGAUAAUCACAUGAAUAAAUAGGUGUAGAGAUGUUCCUAAUAAAGUGCUCAGUGAGUGUACGUCUCUGGUAUGAUAUUUUGUUCGCUGGAUAUGGCUCAGAUCCCUCUUUCAAUACAAGUCUAUGGGAUUUUUUCCACCCAUUUUAUCAUCUGUUAGGCAAAAAACAAACAAACAAACAAACAAAAAACUGUAAGUCUGGUUGCUCAGAAUAGUAAUAGCACACCUCUCCUCAACAAGCUGCAUUAUUUGAGGUAUCAUCCAUGUCCAUAGCACAAAUUUUGUGGGAAGACUUUGUGUUUUUUUCACAAUCCCUAACCCUAAAGUAUGAAAAAUAGAAAUAGGGAUGCAUUAGCACCACUAUUAAAACACUUAUCUUCAUCCCGUUUAUGAGAGUUAAAGAGAAAUGCUUUUUGACCAUGGUGAUUUUGCUUAUCCACUUUUCUCUGAUUAAAACAACAAUUUGUCCAGAUAAAUCAACAAUCGUAUCCUCCAUGAGCAAAUGACCUCUGAUCUAACAGCAUUGUCUUAAAGAAUUGACUGUCAUUGUCUGCAACCCAUUUCCUGGAUGCCUUUCCUGACAUAAAACAAGUGAACACUGUCUAUCUCAAUGAGUCUCUCUAAAAAAGUAUACCUCUGAUUAAGAUAAUAAUAAAGAGUAACCAAACAACAUAACAAAAGCAGAAUAAGGACAUCUUUUAAGUCGCAUAUAAAAGCAUUCAACCAAAGAAUGCCUUAAGUAACCCAUAUUUACAAAUCAAAUGCACAAACAUUACAAUCUAAUGGUUCGUCAGAAGGACAACACAGGUUCUGUGUUGCUUGGAUGCAAACAUUUUUAAUGAAUUUAUGAUGGAAAUGACUGAGAUGGAAAGAUGGUAGAUAAAUAUAACUUGCAAGGAAUAGAAAGAAAGACAUAAGAAUGAAAGCUAGAAAGUAUGAAAGAAAUAGAAACAAACACAAUUAGUAGCUUGAAUAUUAAACAGCAGAUUUGGAUGAAAUCAUUGGAUGAAAGUCCUUUUUUUUUUUUUGUUUUUUUUUUCAUACUAGACCUAAAACCACCUUCUCCAUGUAAAUGCACUUUUGUAAACCCUGGCCAAGCAGACAGUCAUAUAUUUGAGAGAAUCAAAGAGGGUGAAUGUUUAUGGAUUUUACACACUGCUUGAUGGAAUAAAUCAGAGUUUCACUAUUAGAAAUCUCGCUUCCCAAUGGAAACCUUUCACAUACAGUGCAGACAAGCUAGAAAAAAAAUGCUGAAAUUAGGCUAUAUGGAAUGGUCACUUAAAUGACGUUGUUUUUUACAAACAUAAAAACCGUUGGAACCGUUUAGACUAAACCUGUUCUUAUGCUAAAAACCUAGAUGAGGUGCAACAAGUUGAACAGAGCAGGUAUCUUGAGAUGUGUUUUUAAAUGUCAAAGUUUCUGACUUGACGCAGCGCUUCUGUGCAAGACGCAGUGCAACUGUCAAAGAAGACAUCAGUCUAGCGUAAAUUUACAUAGAAAAAUCAUCAGUUUUUAAACAAAAAUAAUUGAUUUUAGACCGGAAACGAAACAGACAGUGACAGAUAGACAAUUAAAAGUAAAUUUAAUGGCUACACAGUUGUUUAAAGUGUUUUGGGAUUAUUCAGCUGACAAAACUUUGAAAAAAUAUCUUUCAAAGAAAUUACAGUAGACAAAAAUCUCCAAAUAAUAAAAAAUUUGAUGUGAUCUAUCUAGGAGCUUUUUGGUAGCUUUAUACAGUGCAUGCUAUUGGAGUGUAUAUCCCUCACAGCCUCUUUUUCAUUAAAAAAUCGAAGAUGGUGCUACUGUGAAUAAGGUCUAUGGCAUCCUUCUCCACCACUGACUCUUGACCUCCACCAUCUAUCAGUUUCUCUCCACUAUAACUCCCGUCUCUGCCAGAUGAACCCAGCUGAAUAAAUUCUCAUUGGCUUUUACGGUUUGUAUACACAAUGAUGCCUGUGUGAGGAGUCAGGCAGUGAGGUUUCACUGAGGCAUGAAGAAAGGAAAAAAUUUAUUUUAAAAAAUGAAUGAAAGUGGAAAAAUUAUUUUGGCUGCUGGGGCUCAGUUGGUCUGUCUGGAAUUCUCCUUUUCUCUCUCCACUUUCUGUCUUUCCCAACCAAGCCAUAUCUUUACACCAACUCUUGCUCAUUUGAUCCCUUUCUGUUAUCAUAUCUCAGUUGUUUGAUUGUUUUAAGAAUGAAAGCUUGUUUGUAUCCAAUUUAAUGUUUCUGAAGCAGUGGUGAAGGCCAACUUAUUUGCAGUGGAAGUGGAUUCAUUCCAGAAGCACUAUAAGAAAGUCAGCAUUUCAAGAGUGUCAAGCUAUAUGGCAGCAUAUCUGGAACAGAGGUGCAGAGAGACCAUAGAUGUUUAUUUAUCACUUCAGUCUGGUACUCACUAAAGCGUUGGACCUCUCUGAUGCAGAAUGUCUAGAUAGGCUGCCAGACACAGCAGGGAGAGCAUCAAUUCUCAAUAACAUCGCUAAUGACUGCACACUGCCUGACGCAUGCUACCAUUACUGGAGAGCUGCUUCUUUCGGCAUCUGUCGAUUUGGGCCACUGUGGAGGGGUGGGGAAGGAGGGUGGCGUCCGGUGCAGCCGAUUCCAAGUAUCGUGAUGGGGACUACUAAGACCAGGGAGCCCUGGACCCUCUUUGGGUCCAAACACACUGUUAGCCCCUAAAAUAAGAAGAAACAAACCAUCCAUUAAACAGAGCUAAGCUGUGCUGCUCUGAGUCGAGCGAGAGGCCGGGGGCCGGGGCUUACCAAGGGUUGGGUUGCCUAAUCCACCGAAGGCACUGCUUGAAAGGUUGCUGAGGCCGCCAAAGGUACUGGAGCGACUGAAAGGAUCUGCAAAAUGCCAAACAGGGAUUAGCGACGCGGGGCCGGAGUAGGACUGUUGGAAAGUGUUCACUGGCUGCACAUUAGGCAGCGAGAGGUGCUGGCCUGAAGAGCAAUACCUGAUUGGAGUGUGAUUGUUUGGGCACAAUUGUGGACAUUUUGAGAUGUCCUAUAUGGAAAAUUAUUAAAUGAAAGCUAGUAAAUCUCAGCUCAUGUGUCUCCCAUUUACUCUAGAUGUUUCUCUUAUCCUUCCAUGUUUACUUCCAUAAAGUAAAGUAAAAUAUUAGGCUACGUAUUAAAACUUACCUUGCUGGGAAGGCCAAAUCAUUUCUAAGGUUGCAUUUAGAUAUUUUUAAUUAAAUAAAACCUCAAAUACACUAAAGUAAAAACCAAAUCCAGCGCUAUCUGUGAGGAACCAGAAUUUAAAUUCCUCGACUCAAGGUAUGGAUCUAUGACUUAUCCUUAAUGUGUUUCGGCAGUUUGUCUCCAUUUCCUCUGGGGCCCCAGGUGUUUAUAAACUUAAAUUGGAUUGACUUGAAAGCUCACUGUGUGAAAUCACCAUUCAGCUCAGAACCCACAUAACAUCACUGAUAGAAAGGGCUUCAAUUUAUUUUGGAAUGAAACACAAGAAACGGGGGCUGAUGGUAAAAUUUACUUUUAACAUGUUGUAGUGUAUACAGGUAGAAUGCUGGUCAAAAUUGUCUUUGACAUACAAUAGGGGGGAAAAAAGUGUAUUUUGGCAAAUUGAAUUUAUACUUCUCCUGGAAGUAAUUAACAACACAGUACUGUGCACAAUAUCCACCAUAUUGUUUCCAAAUCUAAUAUAUUUUGAUGUUAAAAAGCACUUUCGUUACUCAGUAAUAAUUUAGUUUAAUUGAGAUCAGGUUAAAUUAAUAAUAAGCGACCCUUGGGGAGACACUUCUGAGCCUCAGAUGACAAGACUACAGCAGACCAACAGACAUUAAUCAGAUGCCAUAUUUCAUUUGAUGUGACCAAAAAUAGAAGUACAGUUCAUUCAAAAUGUCAUACUAUCUUAAAGUCCUAGAUCACUUCUAAUUUUCCCAAGCAAGAGUUUUUUGUGCUCUGGAAAUUUGUGGAAAGAUGUAUUCUCAAUGUUUCAUUAGAUAAACAAUUGACACCCCUGUAUACAACACUACAUCAUAUGGAACAGACUGUACUUCUUUCUAUUAUAACCUUGUUUUUGUUAGCAUCAAAGUAAAUAUGGCUUUCUCUGACUAAUGCGUAUACAAGAGAGGAACAUAUAGGAUUUAAAACACUAAAGGACACAGGGAAGAAGUAUUUAAAAUGG